GAGCGCCGUAGCAAUACGGAGCGGCAGACGGGAGAGUAACACGUGGGAACGUGCCCUUCAGUUCGGAACAACCCAGGGAAACUUGGGCUAAUACCGGAUACGUCCGUAAGGAGAAAGAUUUAUCGCUGAAGGAUCGGCCCGCGUCUGAUUAGCUAGUUGGUGAGGUAACGGCUCACCAAGGCGACGAUCAGUAGCUGGUCUGAGAGGAUGAUCAGCCUCACUGGGACUGAGACACGGCCCAGACUCCUACGGGAGGCAGCAGUGGGGAAUAUUGGACAAUGGGCGCAAGCCUGAUCCAGCCAUGCCGCGUGGAUGAUGAAGGCCCUAGGGUUGUAAAGUCCUUUCGGCGGGGAAGAUAAUGACGGUACCCGCAGAAGAAGCCCCGGCUAACUUCGUG
rnacentral:rRNA from 1 species